GUGCCAGCCGCCGCGGUAAUACAGAGGUCUCAAGCGUUGUUCGGAUUCAUUGGGCGUAAAGGGUGCGUAGGUGGCGCCGUAAGUCAGGUGUGAAAUUUCGGAGCUUAACUCCGAAACUGCAUUUGAUACUGCGGUGCUUGAGGACUGGAGAGGAGACUGGAAUUUACGGUGUAGCAGUGAAAUGCGUAGAGAUCGUAAGGAAGACCAGUGGCGAAGGCGGGUCUCUGGACAGUUCCUGACACUGAGGCGCGAAGGCCAGGGGAGCGAACGGGAUUAGAUACCCCGGUAGUCCUGGCAGUAAACGGUGCACGUUUGGUGUGGGGGGAUUCGACCCCUUCCGCGCCGGAGCUAACGCGUUAAACGUGCCGCCUGGGGAGUACGGUCGCAAGAUUAAAACUCAAAGAAAUUGACGGGGGCCCGCACAAGCGGUGGAGUAUGUGGCUUAAUUCGAUGCAACGCGAAGAACCUUACCAGGCCUUGACAUGCAUUUCUAAGCGGGUGAAAGCCCGUGAGUCUCGAAAGAGACAACUUGCACAGGUGCUGCAUGGCUGUCGUCAGCUCGUGUCGUGAGAUGUUGGGUUAAGUCCCGCAACGAGCGCAACCCCUGUGAACUGUUGCCACCCUCUUGAUUGAGGAGCACUCUGUUCAGACUGCCCUGUGAAGCUGGGAGGAAGGUGGGGACGACGUCAAGUCAGUAUGGCCCUUACGGCCUGGGCUGCACACGUACUACAAUGCUCAGCACAGAACGAUCCGAGACCGCGAGGUGGAGGAAAUCUAGUAAAACUGAGCUCAGUUCGGAUUGGAGGCUGCAACUCGCCUCCAUGAAGCUGGAAUCGCUAGUAAUGCCGUAUCAGCUACGACGGCGUGAAUACGUUCCCGGGCCUUGCACUCACCGCCCGUC
rnacentral:rRNA from 1 species